GCGGGAAUAGCUCAGUUGGUAGAGCACGACCUUGCCAAGGUCGGGGUCGCGAGUUGGAGUCUCGUUUCCCGCUCCA
rnacentral:tRNA from 2 species